rnacentral:rRNA from 1 species
UACAGAGGCCUCGAGCGUUAAUCGGAAUCACUGGGCUUAAAGGGUGCGUAGGCGGCGCUGCAAGUGCCUUGUGAAAUCCCAUCGCUUAACGAUGGAACUGCUCGGUAGACUGCAGUGCUUGAGGUUGGUAGGGGCUGCCGGAACUCUAGGUGGAGCGGUGAAAUGCGUAGAUAUCAGGAAGAACACCCGUGGCGAAGGCGGUUCUCUGGGACGGUACUGACGCUGAGACGCGAAAGCGUGGGGAGCGAACAGG